UGAGAUGCUAUUCGUAUUGGCCUGAAUGCAGUUGAAUUCUGAAUCAUAAACAAGCUGGGAGAUUUGUCUUCCACAUAUUUUUAGUGCAUGCUCGGAGAACAAGAUAAGAGGAGAGGCUUGAAUCUUGAGAUGACAAGGGUAGUCACCUGCUGCGACUAAAGGAAGGAGGUCAAUGAAGCAAAAGGCAUGAAAAGGAAGGAGCAGCGCCACAGGGACGAUGUUGUCAGCAGCGCUUUGGAAGGAUUCGCUCCAGAGAAGUUACGGUAGUCGGCCAUCGCCCAGGGGAAGCGGGGAGGAUGUCGUCCGAAACGCCUGGGUCUAGAGGAGUGUGUCCAGGUGGUGGCCGAGGAUGGCGACGAGCAAUUGGGUUGGGCAUUUGUCAACGUGAUGGCAUCGUUGCUCAAGGUACCAACACCCUUGUUUUGACCCAAUGUUUCUCGGCUAGCUGUGCAUGGCUGGGACUGUUUCGUGCAUAUAGGGGACGGCUCAUGCCAUCCACUUCCAAAGCAAUAAGACUUGAAAGGAGAAAAUAUUGGCAAAAAGUCCCUCAAAGUUCGUAGUCUGGGUGUAGAAGGUUUGGGGAUUUUGAGCCGGAUGGGCCAUUGAUGGUUGCGGUUGGC